rnacentral:rRNA from 1 species
UUCUUUUCGAAAAUAAAUUAAAGGUAUAGCCUGCUCAAUGAUUAAUUAAAUAGCCGCGAUAUUUAUCGUGCUAAGGUAGCAUAAUAAUUUGUCCUUUAAUUGAGGUCUAGAAUGAAAGGUUGAACGAGGAGUAAACUUUUUUAAUUAAAUUAUUUUAAACUUUAUUUUUUAGUAAAAAAGCUAAAAUUAUUUUAUGGGACGAUAAGACCCUAUAAAAUUUUAUUUAUAAAAUUUAUUUAUUUAAAUUGGUUUAUUAUUGGAAUUUAAAAUUCUAUAAAUUUGGUUGGGGCGACUAUCUAAUUAAAAUAACUUAGAUUUAUAGUAAGUCAUUAAUUUAUGAUUAUUUGAUCCUAAAAUUUAGAUUACAAGAAAAAAUUACUUUAGGGAUAACAGCGUAAUUUUCUUGAGGAGUUCUAAUUUAUAAGAAAGAUUGCGA